rnacentral:rRNA from 1 species
CAAGACUUGACAUCCAAAGAAUCCACAAGAGAUUGAGGAGUGCCCUUCGGGGAACUUUGAGACAGGUGGUGCAUGGUUGUCGUCAGCUCGUGUCGUGAGAUGUUGGGUUAAGUCCCGCAACGAGCGCAACCCUUGUCGUUAGUUGCUACCAUUAAGUUGAGCACUCUAGCGAGACUGCCGGGGUUAACUCGGAGGAAGGUGGGGAUGACGUCAAAUCAUCAUGCCCCUUAUGUCCUGGGCUACACACGUGCUACAAUGGCCGGUACAAAGAGAAGCAAGACCGCGAGGAGGAGCAAAUCUCAAAAACCGGUCCCAGUUCGGAUUGCAGGCUGCAACUCGCCUGCAUGAAGCUGGAGUUGCUAGUAAUCGUGAAUCAGAAUGUCACGGUGAAUGCGUUCCC